rnacentral:rRNA from 1 species
UACGUAGGGUGCAAGCGUUGUUCGGAAUUACUGGGCGUAAAGCGUGCGCAGGCGGCUUCUCAAGUCAGGGGUGAAAGCCCAGAGCUUAACUCUGGAAUUGCCUUUGAGACUGAGAGGCUUGAGUACGGGAGAGGUGAGUGGAAUUCCCAGUGUAGAGGUGAAAUUCGUAGAUAUUCGCAAGAACACCAGUGGCGAAGGCGGCUCACUGGCCCGAUACUGACGCUGAUGCACGAAAGCGUGGGGAGCAAACAGG